AAAGUCAACCAACAAGACAAGAUUAAAGAUAAAUCAAGAAUAAAUUGAAAAUGGGAAAUAAAAAUCCAAGAAAAGGUCAGGUUGACCAUGGGGCGGUGGUUAACCUUCAUCCCAAAAAUCAAGAACUAAAAAUAAUUCUAAGUCAUGAAAAUAAAAUCAAGAAAUAAAUGUGUGUUAAAAUGAACCAUUUGGAAAGAAUAAUUAAAAUAAAAUAUUAACAUUAAAUAAAUACGAAAAAUAAAUAAAUUAAAUAAUGCAUCAAGAAAUGUGGAAAAUAUUUUUGGGAAUUUUUAUGAACAAAGCAAAUAUUUUAAAU
rnacentral:lncRNA from 1 species